UACGAAGGGGGCUAGCGUUGUUCGGAAUCACUGGGCGUAAAGCGCACGUAGGCGGACUCUUAAGUCGGUGGUGAAAUCCUGGAGCUCAACUCCAGAACUGCCUUCGAUACUGAGAGUCUCGAGUCCGAGAGAGGUGAGUGGAACUGCGAGUGUAGAGGUGAAAUUCGUAGAUAUUAGCUAGAACACCAGUGGCGAAGGCGGCCAACUGGUCCGGAACUGACGCUGAGGUGCGAAAGCGUGGGGAGCAAACAGG
rnacentral:rRNA from 1 species